GACGAACGCUGGCGGCGCGCCUAACACAUGCAAGUCGAACGAGCGAGAGAGAGCUUGCUUUCUCGAGCGAGUGGCGAACGGGUGAGUAACGCGUGAGGAACCUGCCUCAAAGAGGGGGACAACAGUUGGAAACGACUGCUAAUACCGCAUAAGCCCACGACCCGGCAUCGGGUAGAGGGAAAAGGAGCAAUCCGCUUUGAGAUGGCCUCGCGUCCGAUUAGCUAGUUGGUGAGGUAACGGCCCACCAAGGCGACGAUCGGUAGCCGGACUGAGAGGUUGAACGGCCACAUUGGGACUGGGACACGGCCCAGACUCCUACGGGAGGCAGCAGUGGGGAAUAUUGCACAAUGGGGGAAACCCUGAUGCAGCGACGCCGCGUGGAGGAAGAAGGUCUUCGGAUUGUAAACUCCUGUUGUUGAGGAAGAUAAUGACGGUACUCAACAAGGAAGUGACGGCUAACUACGUG
rnacentral:rRNA from 1 species